ensembl:lncRNA
CAGAGGGAGGGGAGAGGUAGAACCCAAAAUGCUGCUCCCAAAGUGCUUUAAACCCCAGAGAGCCUCGAACAAAAGAAAAGCUCCAUGAAGGAAUCGACUUUAAAAUGGUUCACUUGUGAGCCGCUGACAUUUAAAACGUGUUUUUCAUUUCUAUUUCUUGGCGGCGCUUUAUUGUUUCUUUUGCCAAUAAUAACACCCAAUAUUUAUUACACACCUUCACAGCACGGUUGAUUAUGUUCCAGCUGGUUUUCAUGCCCCAGAUUGCCAUUUUACAAUAGUGAGGCACAAAGCAACAAGUCAAUGCAGCGGGAACGAAAACAUAUUAUGGCUCUCAAGUUAAAAGCUCAAGCGACAAUUGUUAGGAAGUCCCAGCGCGAUGUGGAUGUUACCGAAGGAUGAGUUUGGAGCUAGUUUUGUUUGCCGCAGUUUUCCCGCUUUGUUCACGAUGGGAAAAAGAAUGCUUCACGUGAGGUAAUCCCUCAUCCAAUCGUGUCUCUUAUUCCGAGCCUCAACCCUGAACCGACCUGUGCAGACGGCGGUCUGAGCGAAUGCCCUCCUUCCCACAUCUUUCCAUCACUUACACAACAUUUGGUCUUCAUUAGGAAAAGAAAACACACACACGGCUCCCAAUCCCUCACCGAGCGGAGGGAGAUACUAUUUCAGCCUUGUCUUGGUAAUCAACCCGUCAGCGCGGCGGCAGCAGAGCUACCGGCGAGCCGAUGAACUCUGUCCGUCUCUCUCUCACACACACACACACACCAACUAAUCAAGACGGGGACGCGGACGGCGUCCAUGAAAACUGGCCGACAGGAAGUUACAGCCAUGUCACGGGAAAUAGGAUGUGUCUUUCUCCCGGAGCAGCAGUAUCCCCGCGAUUAGAGGGAGCAGAUUGAGCUGUCCCUUUGCAUUACACACACACACACACACACACACACACACACACACACACGCGUAUACACGCCUGCCCAGACACGAGUGGACAAACGCAUUGGCAGGCAGACAUAUAAGGGAAAGGGACAGCAGUUAGAGAUGCACACACACAGGCUGACACACGAAUGCACAAAUAAACUUGUUUGUGUCUUGUUUUCACCGGUGGAGGAGAGUUUGUUGAAGGCCCAGAGAGAGAGCGGGGGACCAUUUCCUCCUGUUAUGACUGCCGGCGGCGGACAACAAUCCUCCGGCGCGUCAACGACAAACACGGCGAAAGGAGCUGAAAGUGCUGCGCUGUGUAUCGACAUCAGCAGAGUCCUUGUGGCUCUGAACGUUUGCGCGGUGGACCCAUUCAGCCUCGGCACAAGUUGUUCUCGCUCGAGUUCAAAUAACAUCAAAUU